AUUGAACGCUGGCGGCAGGCCUAACACAUGCAAGUCGAACGGUAACAGGAAUCAGCUUGCUGAUUCGCUGACGAGUGGCGGACGGGUGAGUAAUGUCUGGGAAACUGCCUGAUGGAGGGGGAUAACUACUGGAAACGGUAGCUAAUACCGCAUAACGUCGCAAGACAAAAGAGGGGGACCUUCGGGCCUCUUGCCAUCGAAUGUGCCCAGAUGGGAUUAGCUAGUAGGUGGGGUAACGGCUCACCUAGGCGACGAUCCCUAGCUGGUCUGAGAGGAUGACCAGCCACACUGGAACUGAGACACGGUCCAGACUCCUACGGGAGGCAGCAGUGGGGAAUAUUGCACAAUGGGCGCAAGCCUGAUGCAGCCAUGCCGCGUGUAUGAAGAAGGCCUUCGGGUUGUAAAGUACUUUCAGCGAGGAGGAAGGUGUUGUGGUUAAUAACCACAGCAAUUGACGUUACUCGCAGAAGAAGCACCGGCUAACUCCGUGCCAGCCGCCGCGGUAACAC
rnacentral:rRNA from 1 species